AAAAAAAAAAAGUAGGAAAAAAAACAAACAAAAGGCUGGUGAGAGGUUGUGUAGGGAGUUGUCUGACUUACGUACUUGCAACUUGGAUCUCAUAGCUUAAUGCAUAUAUACCUAAAAUGGGCAAAAAGUGCUUAUAUUGGCCACAGAAUAGGACUGUAAGCAACGACUGGCUUGGUCACAGGAGUGGGGAGAUAUCCGGGCUUUUGCAUUGCCCUUUGCUCCUCCCUAUUUGGCUUUGCAUGAGCUUUUAGGGAAAAAAGUCCAGCAGGGGCUGAGCUGUAAACACAGUCAGCCACAACUGCAAAUCUGUGGUGCUCUGCUGAAGGUCCUCAGACUGGACCAAUUCACAGCAGCAGGAGGAUCAAGCUUUCCAAAUCUGUGAUAGGACUGAAGCCUGCAUCCAGCCCUGUGGAGGAUGAGCCAUCUCCACUUUUUUUUUUAUCUCUGAAGAUGUCCUGGGGCAGAGCUGGAGGCCAAGGCCCACCGGAGCCUGCUCGCAUCACCAUGCCUGCUGAGCAGGAGACCGGGCCGCGCUGCUCCCGCUAACCCCUGGCCACAGGCCCACUGGCUUCUGCGAUGGCCUCAGCAACAUCUGCUUCAUCCAUUAGCAUAGCACUCCUCUCCUGGCCUCCGGCCUGAGCCUUUGCUGCCAUUGAUUAGCAGCAAUUUCCUUCCCAAACCCGAAUGUUCGCCGGACGCCAGAUUGGAUUGCAGUCUGCCUGCCGUUGCAAAGCCACAGUGUGGGUGUGCAUGCACAGGAGUAUAAAUAGCACUGACUUGUUGCCCUCUGAGACGUUUCAGGAACUCUUCUGCUCUCGCUGAAGUUCGGAUUGCCUUCAGAUAUCUUCCCUUUGAGCUCAUGAGUAUAAACUUAUUUCGUGCCUCACCAGCUUUGACUCCUAAACCACGUUCUCGUGUUUGCAUGUUUCUCUCGUUCAACUUCAGCAGUUACAGCACCAGCCCCAAGAUGAAGAACAGUGACAUGAAACUGCAUCUGAGGCUGCAGUGCAGUGGCCCAAGCUGCCUCCGUUGUGUCAUUUCCUCCUCUUCUCCUGGUUGUCAGGAUUUGCAGUAGGUUUGCAGGUGGAAGAGGCCAAGAGAGCUGCUCUCACGGAAGUGACCAUCAUGCUUUAUCCAGCCUACACAAGCCUACAAGUUACAUGAGACCACAUCCUGAAGCAGGCCGAGCCCUCCCAGCUUCAAGCGCUUCCAUAUCACACAGAACACCAUUUCGUUGAGGAAAAACCCUCAACAGCACUUGAAAAGAAAGAAAAAAGAAAAUGACUUUAUUAUUUCCAUUGUGGUGGAAAGCAUUUGGUGUCUUCUUAAGGUGUGAGAGUUUGUGCGUCUGUGGCCAACUGCUCAAGUACUCCGAGCCCUUAUUCCUGCAUAUAAGCUGAUGUCCUGCUUAGAGUGGAGAUUUACAACCUGCUCACCAUGGGGGUUGCAUCAGUAAGACAUGUGUUCUCCUCGUUCUCAUACAUUAGCUUGUUUUGGGAGGGGAAAAUGGCUGCUCCCUUCAAAGAAAUCCCGGCUUUUGCUGAUGCUAUCUGGCAUUUUCACGGUGUCAUCAUUUUGCAACUCAUUUCGUGAUCCAGGGCAAAUGUGCGUCAGGGCAUUGGGGUUUUGGUAUACCACAGACGUCAUCUGCUUCUCAACUGCCGCUAACUUGAGGAAGUUGUCAAAAAUACAAUUGGUUUCUCCUACAGAGGAAAACACAUGGCUUAGAAAGCAGUGGGAGCUGCCUGUUUUCCUUUUUGGGUGAAGAACAGGAAUUUUCAGAAUUUGGUCAGAAAGUGGUUUGGGCUGUGGGAGAAGUUGGACUUUGAUCCCAGGGAAAAUCAACUUUGAGAUAACAAGCUCUACAAAAACUCCCCAUUUAUUUGGUACAUUCAUUUGUUUUCAACUAUGUAUGUGCACAUAAUGUGAAUGUAACUAUAUAUAUAAAAUGUCUUCCAUCCUUUCCUCUUUGUGACCGUAGCAGGAGGAAGGGCCUUUACAGCAGCCACCAAAGGACUAAGACGUGCGACAGAGGGAACAGCGUGUUCUUCCAGAGCAUGAAGCUUGGCUCUGGUGCUCACUUCAGGUGGUUAUAUGCGUGGCAUAGAUGCCACGAAUGACUCACAGAUGACUGCAGUACUUAAAAUUUCCUACAAGGGGUUGAUCUGAGGUGAACAGAUAGAGGAAGGAGACAUUAUACGUAGCUCUGUGGACUGGUUCUUCAAGGGUGAUGCAGAAGUCAUUUGCAUGUGAAGUUCUCCCUCUGGCAAAGCUUAGUUUUACAGCAAAAUAUUCUCAGGAAUUCUGUUAUAUUGUGAAAGCCAGAUGAGGGAGGCUGCCUGAAAGCAAUACAAGAUGGCCAGUGUAUCUGGCAAACUAGAAACUUCCUGAUGUAUGUGUGAACAUGACCAAAUACUAUCUAAUGUGCCAAACUGCUCUGAAAGCACAUUUGAAUCAGAAUUAAGUUCAUGCAUCUGGGCCAUCCUGCAGCUGCUUCUACAGGAACGUGUUUGGGUCUAUAGUAGCCUUACUUUCAAGCUUGACCUGUCUUCUGUUGCUUGUAUCUCUUUUGGAGAACUAGAAGACCUUCAAAAGAAACAGCUGUGGUUCUUAUAGUCAUCAGUAGUACUUCCAGCUUGUUUCAGAGAUGCAGCUUGCCCAUUCUCUUUCCGUGCUGCAAUUUGAAAGGUUGAAUGGACUCAAGACAUGCCAAAAUGAUGCACAUUUGGUAUCACUAAAAUUUUCAGCACUUACUGCUUGUCACCAUAAGCAGAGUUGUAACCACACAGGUGCUGCAUCAGAAGAGAGAAAAGCUGGAGCCAAUACUAGUGGAAUCAUUUGACCUGACCUCAAUGGCAAGGGGCAGCCCCAUGAUGUGAAGGCUGGAAGUUCCUGUGUCCAAGGGCAAAAGCUUUGGAAAACUCAGAGGGUAAAGUAGCCAUGCGUUUCUCGAGAUCUACAUUCACUUCUACUUUUAGUGGCUUGGACCAAACCUUAAUGUAAGCAACUGCUUUGGCAUGUUGCACUAAAAUUUUAUCUGGAUGGUGUCGCAAUGUCCUUUGAGCUGUGGGAGAAGACAGUGCUUGAAAUAUGCAUGUUUGAGCAAGUUCAACGCAGCUUGCUUUUGCUGGAGCCUGACUUUCUUUCCUGGACAAAGCCAGAGAUUUGUGGAGUCUAAUAAUGUGUCAGCAAACCAACUUGGCAUAUAGAAAUGAGAAGGGCGAGUCCCUGUUCCAGUUGCAUAAAAAUGUCAGUGUGUGUGGGGAGUAGAUGAAGGUAAAAUUAAGGCCUAGUUUAUUUUCUUUCCUUUAAAGUGUAUUGUGUUUCUUGCUGAUGAGAAUGAUUUCAUAAUUACAAGCAUAUGGUGAAAAUGUCUGGGUAUCGGUAGAGAGUUGAGAUCUGAACUCAGGUCUGGUCUAGACUAUAUUCCUGUGGUCGUACAGUAGGUAAAUCUUGUGGCACAAUUUCUUGACUUUUUAACACGAGAAGCACUGCCAGCAUGUGAUGACCCAGAUAGACCAUUGGUGAUCUCAGAGAACAUGGUCUAUUUGCUUUCUAGUUUUGCCGACAUGCUUGGGGUCAGCAUUUUGAGCCAUACCCCGUAGGCAUGUCCUAGACAUUUUCUUCUGACACCAAGGAGAAUUGAUGUAACUACUGGUUUUCAGGAAUGCAAGCUUUAAAACAAAUAAUCAGAAGUUAAAAAACUUGUUGUAAAACUGACAGUUCAUGUUUUACUUGUUAACGUUGUUCCAAAUGUAAAAUUGGAGUGUGCUUUAAAAUUGUUACAGUGCAGUUCCCCAUGAGGCAAAAUGCCUUCAGUCUGCUGGGAAUGACAAACAAUAAUGGCAGAAGGAAAGUCAACAGGGCUAAAAUUAAAAUACUUGUGUUUAUAAUUGCUUUUACCAAGUUCCUGGAAGGCCCCUGUUUCAGAUGCAGGAUCCUGUAGGGUUAGGUGAAAUAGAACAGAGCAUAAUCCCAGUCCCAGAAGGUUUUGAGCUAUGCAGGUCUCUUCCACUGACCAGACUUCCACUGACACACUUGGAGACCAUGUUACAGACAUAUCAUUUCUAAUUGAAAAAAAUAAUUUAUAGAUUUUUUUUUCAACAGCAAAUUAUAUUUCUUCCAUCUUGUUAAUGACUGUUGGAUGGACAAUGCAGAAGGAUCCCUUUUGCAGGACAAAAAGGCUACAAAAAUAAUAGAAAUGAACGUCUGCAGCUGAAGAGUUUGGCUGGGACUUGAAAAGUUUGCUUUGGGUACGAGCCAGGUCCUGCUGAGGUCUGCAGGAAUUUUGCUCUUGGCCUCAGUGGGACCAAGCUUUCACCCUUGGAGGCCAUGUCCUGAGGAAGAAUUUAGUCUGAAAUAGUUUUCAAAACUUGUAUUGUUUGACUCACAACCAAGCAUUUUGUUGAGACCGAGUGGCUUUGUAUUUCUGAUUGACUCAUGUUGCUCAUCUUAGCAUCCUGCAGCAGUGAUCUCUCAAGGAAAUCCAAGUGUGAGAGAGGAUUGCAUGUAAGGUUCCUAAACCAAAAGCUUCUUGCAGGUCUUCCCAGGUGUCUGCUUAAGCUGUAUAUUUUUGGGAGGAGAUGUGCCUUGGAGCCCCAGCACAUCAGCACACUGCACUGAAGCUAUGGCUGUGACCUGUGGCAUGACUGGGAUAUGCCCAUCCAGACCCUGGUCAUCUUUGAUAGACCCAUCCCUCCAUUCUGCAUAUGAUUCUGUGAUUCAUGGUGAAACAAAUAUUUGAAGGAAGAACAGAGAACUAGUAAAGUGUUUUGAUUUAUACCUCACAUGUAUGCCCUUCCUUAUUACCCCCUUGGUCAUUUUUCCUGUAGACCUCAGAGACCACAUUGAAAAUAACCACUAUCAAAGUGAGGUUUGUGCCAUUCUUCUUCUUCUUCUGAUUAGAGCUAGGAUAACACAUUCAAAUAAUAAGUCUGAAGCUGGGCAUGGGUGGGACAACACUACUGUACUCUUAACACUGCAUGUUCUAGGCAGAUUUAACAUGCAGGUCUUGCAUUGUUGGACUGCACAAGUGUAGUAAUGUUGGAUUUUACUGCUCUAUAUCAACUUGUGAUGAAACGUGGUGACAUCAGCGGAGACAAAGGCCCAUUUCGUAUAAAGCUUGCAGAAACACCAAGUGCUUGUUUGGCCAUUCAGAACACGGAGCUGGGGAAAACAACUUGCUCAGUUCACAGCCCUGAAUCCUCUGGAGAUGCGUGGCUGGGUUAUUUCCUUGAUAUUCUGUGAUAUUAUGACCUGUUCUAAUAGCACAGGAUCAUAGAACUGUAGGAGUUGGAAGGGAGGAUUAUUGAGUUCCAGCCCCUGCUAAAGCAGAUUCCAUACAGGAGGUUGCACAGAACAGUAUCCAGACCCAAAGAAGGAGACUCCACAACCUCUGUGGUCAGCCUGUCACAUUUAAGCAGUUUAUAGUUAUCAUGAUUUAAGAUUUUCCUCCCAAAGUCAAUUGGUUUCACAGUAGACCCCAACAAAUCAGUAUUUUUGUUUUGCUGAAAUGGAGUGUGAUAUCAUUUUAAUGGCUCCUUUCUGAAAACCUUGAAAGCUGCUUAAGAAACAGAUUCACAGUGUAUGGGCUCGAAAACUAUCCCAUUCUGGUGCACUUGAAGUUGUCGAGCACAGAGUGCAUAAUUUAGAAUUGAAAAGAAAAAGAUGUAUCUGUGAAUUAAGGACUGCAAUACAGGAGCUAUCAACCACCAAGAGGCUCUUUUAACCUCAGCAGAGCUGUGCUCUUUAAUGUGUUUUUGUGGGGAAGAAGAAUAAAAAGGAAAUCUGAGAAAACUGAUCUUUAUUUUUAGAAAAAUAAUUUCUUUUUGCUAAGGAGGACUUUUUAUUUUCUGUGCUCUAAAUAAAGCAGUGAUAUGGUCCUGUUGUGCCUCAGGCUAUCCGCUUAAAAGAAAAGGCUCCAAAGAUGGACCAUCUGGAAGCCUGUGCAAGAGCACGCCAGUGCUGUUUGAUGUGGAAGAGCAUCCUUUGGAUGUAUUUUUGCACACUGCUCAAUCCGCUGAAGUUUUUUUUGUGUGUGUUGAGCUGAUGGGAACAUCUCAGAGGAUUUUGCUUCAUGUGUUAAUGCUGCUUGCUUCUUUUUUCAUUAAAUGAAAGCUGGGAAGCAGUGUUUCUCUCUAGAAGCACUUUCGAGAUCUGCAGGUGAUCACAACGCAAAGGGAGUCAGUUGCACAUUCUUGGCCAGAUCUGCUCUUUCCAGGGCACAACAAGAACUUCCUCCUCUUCCCAUUUUUUUCUGGGAUGCCUGGGAUCUCCUUGGUUCCUGCGAGGCCAAAAAAGUUCUCUGUUUUGUUGUUGUGGUGGUGUUUUUUUGUUCAGGACUUUGCCUGAUGUACUUUGUUUCAGUGCUGCAUCUGAGAUGAGGAGAAAUUCACCCCUGGUUCUGGGAUAAGGGGUUCACCCCCACCCCAUGCAGUGUUUCUCUGAGCUUAUGUUCUCAGAUGUUCAAGUCCCAUCCCUGCACAUACCGGUGCCCUUUUGGCUCAACCUGCACAUCUGACAGCCUAUGCACUUUGCCCUCCCAUUAAGAGGCUACUCGUGUAAGGAAUUAGGGUCUUGUAGUUACAAGCUUUUGCAGGGAAACAAAACCACUCUUUUCUUUAGAUGAAUGUUGGACAACUCUUUUUUGUUUGUUUGUUUUGAUGGAAACUUGUGAAAUAAGCAAGAUCAACUCCACCUCCUAAAAUGAGCUCUCAGUGUUUCGUGCCGCCUCCAAGAGAUUACUUUUUAUUUUGGGGGGGGAGGGUCAGGGAUGUGGGCCAAAGUGGGACGUUUGCAAGCUGGUGAAUCUUCUGAAAAGGACAAGUGUAGGCACUUUGUCUCCUCUCAGCAUGGCCAGCGUGGAAAGCAGUGAAGGACUAAAGGACAUCGCAGUGUCGUGGACAUUCGUGCCACUAACUGCUGUUGCUUUCACCAGCCAUAUGUACAGCUGCGUUCUUUUUAUAGUGCUGCAUAUGGCACUAUCGUAAUUGAAUUUUUCUUAAUAAUUGAUCUGACCUGUAUCAUUCUGUUCAUUUUAGGAGAGCUAAUUCAAGCAGAUUGAGAUUAGGACUAAAAAUAUGGUUUGGUUAGCGGAGGAACCAUAAAGAGCGCGACUUCACAGUAAUGAUGACACACAAUCUGUUUUACCCAGAUAGGCUCAUACUAUUUAUAUGUAGCACACUGUCAAGGCUGGUGCCUUGUCUGCCUUCCAGUAGCUGCGAUACAUGGGGUAGUGGCAGUCCUGUGCUGAAGAGCACUCUAAUUCCAUGUUUUGGGACCUUCCCACCUUAUCACUUCCUCUGGCAAGGCUGUGGGGUCCAAGAUUGCAGCUGAUGGCCCUGUCUCUGUUGUAGUAACUCUCCAACUUGCCCAUCCAUGUGAGGAAUUGGAUCUGCACUGUCCCAGCCCUGGGCAGGGGAAACGCGAGUCUCUAGCAUGGUGAGCUUAGCUUCUCACAGCAAGCUAUGGAAAUAGCAAUGAAAUUGGAAUAGGUGAGCUGGAUCCUGCCUCAUGUUUAGAAAUGAAAACCCUAGGGUAGUCUCUGAAUUGCCCUUUGCUGAAAAGGAUUUUGGCUGUUUGGUUCAGACUCCCGAAUGUAGGAACGGCGGAGGUGGGACUGCAGACAACUAAGAAAGUUAGAAACGGCCCAUACGAUUAGGAUGCUGCAAAACGAGUGGCAGCUCUUUCUCUCCCAGAGCUCUCAGCUGCAGCUGAGUAUCUGGACCAGACGUUAUUUUUGGCAAGAGGAAAAAAUAAAUCUCCCUUGAUACUGUGCAAAAAAAAAAAUGAAAGUAAAUGUUGAGACAUACACGAGGGCAAGGAUCUCCUCUGUUGUGUGGCAGCAGUGCUUUUAGAACUGAAAUCCACUUGCUUUGAUCACUGAUUAAAAAAAAUGGACAUAAAAGGGAUUUAUUGUGAAAUAAUGGAUUUGAUCCCCAGUAAUCCUUUCUUUGGGAUUAGACUUGGAAUAUUAUUUUUGUGAUCUGUGGAAUUAGACCAUGCUGGCAUGACAGACCAAAGCACGUGAGUUUAACUGCAGGAUGAGGCUGAGCUGCAAACAGAGUGAAUUACUUGCACAGAACAAAGCAGCUGAUAAAUCUACAGCUCUGUAUUUAAUGACGCAAGAUCCACAUGCAAGCAUAGAAACAGAAAAAAAAAAUCCUAAACUGAAGGCAGGAAAGACCCCUUCUUCCCAGCUGACACUGCAGAGAAACACUGUGAUCACAGAAUCAUUGAAUCAUAGAAUGGCUUGGGUUGGAAGGGACCUCAAGGAUCACCGAACUCCAACCCCUGUACCAUAGGCGAGGUUGCCAACUGCGUGAUCUCUGUGGACUGCUGGCUAGAGCUUCUGGUUUGAGUAUUUUCUGCCACAAGAACUACAAUUUGUAGCUGCUCCCAAUGGAAUGACUGAGGGACUUAGAAUGUCGGUGCAAACUCGGUGCAGGUCUUCAUGUAUGGCCACAAAACUUCCCAGUGAGAUUUGGCAAGCCCCAGGCUCGCUGCCCAAACAGUGCCUGCGUGCACAGCUCCUUGGUCUCCCAGCACACUGCUGAUUUGGCCUGAUGUGUGCUGAGAAGUCCUCCUGAGUGGUUCGUUAUGGGUAUAUUAUAACAAAAUAGGUACAAAAUGUGCUAUGAAUCCCUGGUAUGUAACUUUGAAGUCCCAAACCUUUCACAAAAAGCAACUGCAAGGAACUCCUCUCACUUCUCCUGCCAGAUUUUGACUCUGAACUCAAAGUGGGGCUGGAGAUGGCUUUUAAAACAGAGGGAGAGUUCCUUUGUGUUGUGCUCUGAAUCAGCUGAUCUUCAAAACAAAACAAAACAAAACACAAAAGCUGUGGGACAGAGAGCAAGCGAAGGAAAGGUAAAAUAUCCCCUGCCAGACCCAUUCCUGCUUUCGCUGCUGGACUCACAGCCACACUUCUGUUUGCAAAGGUCACUCCUGCAGCAGGACAUGGCCCAGGCUCCUGCCUUGCACAGCCGUGGGAGCUGCUGGGCACAUCAGCACCCCUAAGCAUAACCCAGGUCUGCUUCUAGUAGGCUUGCUAUUUCAGUCCUUUGAGGACUCUGCUUUUUCCUCAGGGCUUGCUAACCCACAAAGCUGCCUGCUCUGCCUUGAGAGCUGCUGGUGCAGGACUGCUGCUCCGGCUUGGGACAUUCAUAGAGCACUGGGAUUCCCAUUAAAUCUUCUGCUACUAGCAUAGGUUUCCCUAUAAAAAAAAACUGCAGUACAUCUUGAAACUGGGCAAGCCACACCAUGCAAACUCUUGGGAAGAAGCUGGUUACAACAGCCCAUGUUCCAAGUCUCAUGAUUCCUUCGUAGGAUAAAAACGUGUUAAUUAUCUCCAUUUUUUGAUUUAGAGGGAGGGAGUUGCUUUUCCUCACAGCAAUGUAUAUCGAAGGGUUACAAGUGGUGCACGAGGAGUUUGUAAUAAAUCCUGCUUGGCGGUUAUUCAGAAGGUUUCCUUGAGUACACUGUGUCUGAUUAUUGCAGCUGACAGCUCUGUACACGGCGUACAGCAGACAUCACCUGGCACAGCACCACUGUACGCCACCUGGCAAAACUGGGGCAAAACUCAGAGGCAGCCAUGAGAGUUUUCUGCCACAAUUUGUGCUGAAUAUUCCCUCACCCUACCCCAUUCCCUGAUCCUUACUCCCUACCUCACGCACAUGCUCUUGGAUGAAGUGCACCCAAUUUUUGCGCACAGUGCAAAUCUGGUAGGAGCGGCUGACAUCAGCUGUGUCAGUCCAGAGGGACCUCGAGAAAUGUGGAGAUUCAGCCAACAGAAACUUCCUGAAGUUCAGCAGUGAGACGUGCAAUGUCCUUCAUGGGGAGCAGGAAAUCCUCAUGCAUAGAUCCAGGCUGAAAGCAGCCGGCUGAGAGGCCUCAGUGGAAGGGGCGCAGGGUACGCAGUGGGUGCUGAGUUCA
ensembl:lncRNA